GACUUUAUAAACUUAUACUCUAAUUAAUGUUAAUUUAGAGUUAUUUUGGUAUUGAUUUUUAAUUUUAGGGUGAAAUCAGAAAUUAUUUUUAUUUAAACUCUAAAUUUUAAGAUUUAGUAAACAAACCAGAUUAGUACCUGGUUAGAUAAAAUUUAAAAGAGCAGGAGUAAAGUUAUAUUUAAACUGUAAGAAUAUUGGCAGGUUUUUAAAUUAUCUUUGGAGGCUGAGUAGUGAUUGAGAGCCCUCAUUUUCAACUUUUUCUUUAGGCGCAUGUAUGAUCGUUUAUUUUAUUCUUAAGGAUUGUAAUUUUAGUCUUUGCUAUAAAAAUAGAUAGAUAUCUGGCUUAUGAGAAAGAUUUAAUUUGGCCUACAAUAAUUUAAUUUUUGGAUUCUAGUUUUAGAGGCUAGAUGAAAUUGUAAAAGACAGUAAGUUGCUUUUAAUGGGUAGCUGAAGUUUAUUUAAAAAC
rnacentral:rRNA from 1 species